rnacentral:miRNA from 1 species
ACCGAGCAGAACUCUGACGAGC